UNCAUCAAGGACCUUCCUACUGGGAUCUA
rnacentral:piRNA from 1 species